CCCUCGGGUUUGGUGUUGAGCGAUACGCUGGGUUUGCUUGAAAGAAAGGCGGAGUAUAAACUAAUGGAUAGGUUUUUUCCACUCAUUGGUACAAACUCCAAAACUUCUUCCAAAUUCGACCUCAAAUCAGGUAGGACUACCCGCUGAACUUAAGCAUAUCAAUAAGCGGAGGAAAAGAAACCAACAGGGAUUGCCUUAGUAGCGGCGAGUGAAGCGGCAAAAGCUCAAAUUUGAAAUCUGGCACUUUCAGUGUCCGAGUUGUAAUUUGAAGAAGGUAUCUUUGGGUCUGGCUCUUGUCUAUGUUUCUUGGAACAGAACGUCACAGAGGGUGAGAAUCCCGUGCGAUGAGAUGUCCCAGACCUAUGUAAAGUUCCUUCGAAGAGUCGAGUUGUUUGGGAAUGCAGCUCUAAGUGGGUGGUAAAUUCCAUCUAAAGCUAAAUAUUGGCGAGAGACCGAUAGCGAACAAGUACAGUGAUGGAAAGAUGAAAAGAACUUUGAAAAGAGAGUGAAAAAGUACGUGAAAUUGUUGAAAGGGAAGGGCUUGAGAUCAGACUUGGUAUUUUGUAUGUUACUCUCUCGGGGGUGGCCUCUACAGUUUACCGGGCCAGCAUCAGUUUGAGCGGUAGGAUAAGUGCAAAGAAAUGUGGCACUGCUUCGGUAGUGUGUUAUAGUCUUUGUCGAUACUGCCAGCUUAGACUGAGGACUGCGG
rnacentral:rRNA from 1 species